rnacentral:rRNA from 1 species
UACGGGGGGCAAGCGUUGUUCGGAAUUACUGGGCGUAAAGGGUGCGUAGGCGGGUCUUUAAGUCAGGGGUGAAAUCCUGGAGCUCAACUCCAGAACUGCCUUUGAUACUGAAGAUCUUGAGUUCGGGAGAGGUGAGUGGAACUGCGAGUGUAGAGGUGAAAUUCGUAGAUAUUCGCAAGAACACCAGUGGCGAAGGCGGCUCACUGGCCCGAUACUGACGCUGAGGAGCGAAAGCUAGGGGAGCAAACAGG